UUUUUCUCUGAAUUGGCCGAUGGAAGGGAGGUUUUUGUUGAGGGGAGAGUGGCAGAGUCCUCACUGUGGCUCACUUUCGGCCAGGGCACCAAGCUGGAGAUCAAACGAGCUCAGGCUCAGCCAUCUGCCUACAUCUUCCCGCCAAAUGAGGAGCAGUUGCGGUCUGGAACCGCCACUGUCGUGUGCAUGAUAAACGGCUUCUACCCCGAAGAGAUCGAUGUCAAGUGGAAGGUGGAUGGUGCUGUCCGAACAAAUGAUGUCCAGAACACUCUCACGGAGCAGAACAGCGAGGACAACACCUAUAGCCUCAGCAGCACCCUGACGUUGCCCUCUACAGAGUACAGCCGGCACAAUCUCUAUACCUGUGAGGUCACUCAUCAGAGCCUGGGCUCGCCCCUCAGCAAGAGCUUCAAUAAGCAAGAGUGUUAGAGGGAGAUGCCCCCCAGGCCCAGACUGGGCUCCUCCCUUCCUUAGGCCUUGGGCCUUUUUCCCCCUGCAAGGGACCUACCCCUAGUGCACUCCUCCAGCCCCUCUCCCUGCCUCAUACCCCCUCCUCCUCCUCCUUGGCUUCAAUCAUGCUAAUACUUGGGGGGGGGGAUG